AUUGAACGCUGGCGGCAUGCCUUACACAUGCAAGUCGAACGGCAGCGGACCUUCGGGUGCCGGCGAGUGGCGAACGGGUGAGUAAUAUAUCGGAACGUACCUUUCAGUGGGGGAUAACGUAGCGAAAGUUACGGCUAAUACCGCAUAUUCUGUGAGCAGGAAAGCAGGGGAUCGCAAGACCUUGCGCUGAUUGAGCGGCCGAUAUCAGAUUAGCUAGUUGGUGAGGUAAAGGCUCACCAAGGCGACGAUCUGUAGCGGGUCUGAGAGGAUGAUCCGCCACACUGGAACUGAGACACGGUCCAGACUCCUACGGGGGGCAGCAGUGGGGAAUUUGGACAAUGGGGGCAACCUGAUCCAGCCAUUCCGCGUGAGUGAAGAAGGCCUUCGG
rnacentral:rRNA from 1 species